rnacentral:rRNA from 1 species
UACAGAGGUCUCAAGCGUUGUUCGGAUUCAUUGGGCGUAAAGGGUGCGUAGGCGGCGCGGUAAGUCGGGUGUGAAAUCUCGGGGCUUAACUCCGAAAACUGCAUUCGAUACUGCCGUGCUUGAGGACUGGAGAGGAGACGUAGGUAACUUUGACGGUGUAGCGGUGAAAAUGCGUAGAUAUCGUAAGGAAGACCAGUGGCGAAGGCGGGGUCUCUGGACAGUUCCUGACGCUGAGGCACGAAGGCCAGGGGAGCAAACGGG